GACGAACGCUGGCGGCGCGCCUAACACAUGCAAGUCGAACGAGCGAGAGAGAGCUUGCUUUCUCGAGCGAGUGGCGAACGGGUGAGUAACGCGUGAGGAACCUGCCUCAAAGAGGGGGACAACAGUUGGAAACGACUGCUAAUACCGCAUAAGCCCACGGCUCGGCAUCGAGCAGGGGGAAAAGGAGCAAUCCGCUUUGAGAUGGCCUCGCGUCCGAUUAGCUAGUUGGUGAGGUAACGGCCCACCAAGACGACGAUCGGUAGCCGGACUGAGAGGUUGAACGGCCACAUUGGGACUGAGACACGGCCCAGACUCCUACGGGAGGCAGCAGUGGGGAAUAUUGCACAAUGGGGGAAACCCUGAUGCAGCGACGCCGCGUGGAGGAAGAAGGUCUUCGGAUUGUAAACUCCUGUUGUUGGGGAAGAUAAUGACGGUACCCAACAAGGAAGUGACGGCUAACUACGUG
rnacentral:rRNA from 1 species